UUUACUUGUUUAUGCUGUUAUUGUGCCAGUAUUUUAUGCUUGCUGCAUGUUUGAUUUACACUGAACUUUGUAAGAUUGCUCGUCAGAGUAAUUUCUCAGUAGUAGGUCAGUGCACUUUAUUGUGUGGGAUGCAAGAAAUGCCUCUACAUUCCAGCUUCUGGUUUGAUCUAGACUCUAUUUUGAGUUGCGGCUUUGAAUUCCAGGUUGAUUUGAUGGUAAUUUAUCCUGAUCUUAAGCUUGAAUAGUCUGUCUAGUUGAGAUCUUGAUCAAUGAUUAAUUGCCAUUUCUGACUGGUAAAGUAUAAAUUAAUUACGAUUUUCAGUCUUUGUAGUGAUAAGAUUGUCAUUUAUAUAGUUUUGAACUCUCGAUAUUGGCCAUUUUCUUGCAAGAUUUUGAGUUAAGAAAAUUUAUUUGUUAAUUUAUCAGUUCGUUUUUGAAAUAUGAUCUUAGGGAUGGCAAUGGGAUUGGUUUGGUUGGGUAGGGCAGCCAUUCUUGUCUUCGAGUAUUUUGUUAUCGUGGCCCACUCCUAUAUUCAGUUUGGCGUGGUGGGGUAGCGUGGGAGCCAUGUCACUGGGAGCGAAAUCCCGCCCGAUUUCAGUGGGUAUGGGGUUUAAACGGUUUUUUUGCGUCCGUGGUUGUAAUUCACCUAUGUUAAAAAUGGUUGUAAAUUAACUUUUUCGACCGAUAAUUUAUGACCUUUUUAAGUGCUGAUGUCAUUUAGUUCUUGCUUAAUCCUCGUCAUUAUUAAAAUUAUAUAUUUUUUCUUUUAUUCUUUUCAAUCACAUUUUUUAAUAAAAUAAUAUUAUAUAUAAAUUAAAAAAAAUUUCUUCAUUUUUAAGUACUUUUUUUUCAACAAUCUACUUUUUCAAAAUGUAUUUUUAGGGAAAAAUAGGGCACAAGCAGUUGUUGAGCCUGGUCAUUAUUUUUUAUUAUGUGGAGUGGAAGAAGAUUUGACUUGCACAUGCUUGGCAGUACCCUUUUGCGAUGGUAGGAAAAGGCUCGGAGUAGGUUACCCACUCUUAACGGUCAAAGUGAGCUUCUUUAUUUUGAAUUUGUUAAUUCAGAUUGAAUCAAAUUUCUUGAAGUAGGAUUAGGACUUACGGUCUAUUGGUUAACAGCCAACCUCUACCAUUGUGAAAGUUACACGUCUCGUCUCCUCUUUGAGGAAAAUAGUUUGGUAUGAAUAUUUUAGAUACUCGAUUGGGGGAGCCAAUAGUGAACCACACUCUAUUUGGCAAUAAUUAAAAUUCAGUAAGUUGAUUAAUUUUGAGAGUUAUGCUACAAUGACAAAAGAGUUUGACAAAAUUGGAUGACAAAGUUGGAUUUACACCAAUCAUUUCAAAAAUAGAUUUUUAAAUCAUUUCAAAUCAGUGGUUUGCAUUCUGCCAACACACUUUGUAAAGCCAAUUUUGUAAUUCAACUUUGUUGAAGUAUAAUUAUUGUAAUUUUGAUUAUGCAUUUUACAGAAGUCAGAAAUUUUUUAAUGGCAUAUUUUAUCAAUUUUUAUUGAAAUCUAUUAAAAUUUUGAUUUUGAAUCUCACAAAACAAGAGUUUGUCAACAUUGGCAUGUGGUGAGAAUUUCCAAGUACCUCUCAUUCUUUGCUAUAUUUUUUUUAAUUUACAAAUAAAAUUGUUUAUAAAUACUAUUUCAAUGGUGUUUUUAAAAGUUUAUUAAUUUGUUUUCAAGUUUAAGGAGAUUGCAGUACGAGUAUUUAUUUCACUGCCUGCAAGUAGCAUUUGUUAGCUCUCUGGUCGUCGUAUUGUGUUUAACUCCAUAUCCGAUGCCCUUGCCUUAUCUUUCGAUUGUCAUCAAGUGAGAGGAAAUAUCACAAUAACUUGUUUCUGUACUUUUGGGAUUACGAAGAAUUGUUGACGUAAAUACAUCAUUUGAGGGUAUAUUGUGAUGGAUCCAUAAGCUCUAAGUGGAAGAGCGCUCAUUGGCUUCGGGGGCUUAUGAGAGGUUGGUGGUUCAAAUCCGCCUGGAUCCGAUUAAUUUCGCAGUUUUGAACGAUUUUAUUUCGUCUUACUAGAGAUUUUUGAUGUUUUGGCUUGUUCUUAAUUUUUUUAUAUCUUAAUUUGUUUCAUUUUUUAAAUUAUAAAUCAAAUUAAAAAAAAAAAUCUUAAAAUUUUUAAUAUGGAUAUCAAUAAAUUUUGAAAUUUUGGAGUUAAGAUGCCAACACUCUGUUCCUUUGCCUUUGCUACCGUUGUUCUUACUCUUAACAAAUAGAUUCGGGGACGGCCCAGAAUUAACAAUUAAGCUGGUUUUACAGUAGAGUUUGACAACGUGUUUGAUAGCAUUUUUAAUUUGGGUGAUCUGGCAAGGAAAAAAAAUUUUAAAAAAAUGCGGGACACGAAAGGAAUAAAGAAGUGAGGGCCCACGUGAAUAAAUUGCCCCAAAAUUCAUAACAUAUUCUUCCCCCAAAUGGUGGAACCCUCAACUUCGAGUCCAGCGAAGUUGUAAUCUGGGAAAACUAGGGAGAUAUUGUCAACGGUGGCCAUAAUCUUCUUGCCAUCAUCUUCAUCUUCUUCAAUUGUAGCUUCGUCUUAUCGGUUCAGCGGCUCCAACUUGUAAAAGGCUAUAAGUCGUCAUCCAAAUCCAAACACCUCGUGAAGGUCCAUCUUCUUCAGUCCGACUUCCAGCUUCUUUCAGUGGAGCUCCGAGCUUUGUUUCCAUUUUUCAGUUAUACUCCAUCGAAAUGUGAAGCUGGUUGUCUUCCUUUAGUCUAGCUCACUCAAGCUUCUGAACGCGAGGAUCCAGCUUCUUUGGGUGUAGCUUCGAGCUUCGUCCAACCAACCUAACUUCUUGCUCCAGCUACGUGUAAACCAAUCACCUGACCCAUUACAAGCUGAAGAAAUCAUGGAUGAUGUGGAUAAGUAUAUUUUGGUGGAAUCAGACAACGAGAACGUGGAAGACAAUAUGAACCAAUUGGAAGAUGAAAUCGCAAAAGGAGAUGGUAAUAUUGUGCCCAAGGUCAGAAUGACGUUCAAGAAUGAAAAUGAAAUGUUUGAUUUCUACAAGGCAUAUGCCUAUGUCGUUGAUUUUCCAAUUAGGAAAUGGACAUCUAAAAAGGAUAACAAUGGAAUGUUGAAAUAUUCGACUUUGACAUGUAGUCGGGAAGGCAAAAGAAGUGGUACUACAAAUGGCUCUUUCAAGCCGCAACUGACAAUUCAGACGGAUUGUAAAACUAGAAUAUCUACAUAUUCAGAUAUUCAUCGCUCUUGGAGAAUUAACAUAGUUUGUCUAGAGCACAAUCAUAGAACAAGUCCGAUAAUGUCUAUGUUAUAUCAUUGUAAUCGAAAAAUGAGUAUGCAUGUCAAAAGGAAGCUUCAAGUGAAUGAUCUAGCAGGCAUUCCAUUGCACCAAUCCUACGACUCGACAGUGGUAGAGGCAUUGUGGUUAUGAGAACAUGACUUGCAUAGAAAAAAAUCUCGUAAUUAUAUUGAGCAAGUUAGGCGACUACAACUUGGAGUAGGUGAUGCCGCAACAAUACAAAACUACUUUUCGACAAUGCAGUCAAGGUGCUCGGGUUUUUACUUUAGCAUGGAUUUAGAUAACGACUCACAUCUUAGGAAUGUAUUUUGGACAGAAAAUUGGCCUAUGCAAGCAUUUAAGGAGUUUGGGGAUGUUGUUACAUUUGAUACCACCUAACUGACCAAUAAGUACGACAUCCAUUUGCCCCUUUUGUGGGCGUAAAUCAUCACAGACAAUCGACACACUUGGUUGUGGUUUGGUGUCAAACAAGGACACAGACACUUUUGUGUGGCUUUUAAUAAAAUGGCUUAAGUGCAUGCACGGUCAAGUUCCAAAUAGAAUAAUUACUGAUCAUGAGAGGACAAUGCAAAAUGCAAUUCAGAUCGUAUUUUCAAAUACGAGGCAUAGAUGGUGCUUAUGGCAUAUAUUGAAGAAGUUGUCUGAGAAGCUCGGCUACCACAUGGGUAAGGGUUCAAUACUUUCGACUAUUCGUGCAUUGGUUUUAUGAUUCCCAAACUAUAAUUGAAUUUGAAGGAGGUUGGAUAACGAUGAUCAAGUCAUAUGGGUUGCAUGAUAAUACUUGGUUGUUAGGCCUUUACGAUAAUAGAGGUCGUUGGAUCUCUUGCUUUUUGAAAACUACUUUCUGGGCAGGGAUGUCGACGAUGCAAAGAAGUGAGAGCAUGAAUGCAUUUUUUUGAUAGAUACUUUCAUUCAAAGACUUCUUUGGUACAGUUUGUUGAACAGUAUGAACGGGUAUAACGGAAUAAGAUUGAGAAAGAGUUCCAUGUUGAUUUUAAAUUGUUUUCACAAAUGGUACCGUAUGCGACAACUUAUUAUAUGGAGAAGCAGUUUCAGUCAGUAUACACCAUUUCAAAAUUUUGAGAAGUUCAAGUUGAGUUCACAGGGAAAGUUUACUGCGAUAUCGUAUCUUCCUCAGAAGGACUUCUUGGGAUGACAUACAAUAUAUGGGAAGAUGUCAUACAUGAACAACGUCGAAAGAAGAAAUCGUUCGAAGUUACGUUUCAACCUGAGGACUGUGAAAUUAGUUCCAACUGCCACUUGUUCGAGUUUAGAGGAAUAAUAUGCAGGCAUGCCCUCACCGUGUUGAUUCAUAAUGACAUAACAUCACUUCACGAGUAGUGCAUUUUGCGACGAUGGAGAAGAGAGGUUAGUAGAGCAUAUUCAAGGGUCACGGUCAAUUAUGACGGGUUGGUUAGUUCGCCUAGAUAAUUGAGAUAUGACAGUACGUGCCAAGCUUUUGCUACGCUGGCAAAUCUUGCUGCAGAUGGCAAAGUUUAGACCUGUGUUAUAAUAGAAUGGAUUGGACUGCAAUCCAAGGAGCUAGCGAUGACGAAGUCAAUUUGUGGAAAUAAUACUAUUUCGCAUUGAAACAAUGAGUUAGCCACUAUACAUACUAAUUCCCAAAAUAAUACGAACUAGAACAUAUUGGAUCCGACACUGUGCCGAAGAAAAGGAGCACAAAAAAACUUCGAUGAAAAGGACCUUUAGACUCUUCUUCAAAGAAUGUACAGGUUUAUUGAAAGUUUUGUAGAAAUUUGUAAAUUAUUUGUAUACACAAAGUCUCAUUUAUUAUGAUGUACAUAUAGUUAAAUUUGACUUCAAUCAAGCGAAAGAGGCUGACAUGAAAGCAUAGUAGUACAUGUGUGGGUGUACCUGAAGGGCAGCCAAUUUCUGUAGAAAACCAAUAUUCCCCGUCUCCACAAGUCACAUUAUCACAAAUUUCACUUUCGACGCCCUUUCCAUUACCAGAACGUGGCAUGCUGACGUCAUUGUCAUAUGUGCAAUGCUUACAAUCUUCCAAUAUGAUGAAUUUGUCGUCAACAAAUGACUUGUACAAUUCGCAAGGCCAUGCGUUUGCGUACUACUAUCCACAUUUGUCAGAUCAAGGUAGAACAGGUUUUUGAUGCUUUUCGGAUAGCCCAUGCAGUUGAUGGAAUAAGUUACUCUUGUUUAUUUCGAACUUGAACACCCUGCCCCUGUAUUGGAUGGGAACAAGGAUUACAAAGUUGGUUGCUUAUGUAUGUAUUUCACUCAUUUGUAGCUUGGCAGCGGAGUCCACUUUACCCAUUCGAAUGUUAUGUUUUUGUAUACACCACCCAUUUCGAAUCGAGAUCUUGUAUUUGGAGAAUGAUCACUAAGAUAUUUAAGCA